AGGUGAUCGUAUCACGAGUCAGUUCUCCUCACACAAGCCAACACAUUCAGACCCGGCUUGUGUUAUAAGUGCAGCUUGUGCAAAAGCUUCUACGUUCUUAAAAGACAAUAUUUAACUGCUUGAAUCUUCGGUACGGGUUGUACCACUGAAAGGAGUUACUGCACUCUCGCCAGCCAACAACUAUCGGCUUGAUCUGUCGGUGCGGGUUGCACCACUGAGUGUCUGAAAGUGUUUUAAAGUGUUUUAAAGUGUCUGAAGCCACCUGAAAAAGCCAGAAAGUGAAAUAAGUUGUAUUGCAGUUGCUUUCUCCUUGCACUUGUUGAGAAUUCACGGAGGUAUAUCUCAAAACGAAAAAGCAGGCAAAUGAUGUAGAGGAAAAUCCAGGACCUACAAUAUUUGAUGUCAUCGAUCCGACAAGAACAAUAUGUGCUGACUACAGUCAAGGAAAUGAAGCUCUCUUUGGUGAAAAUGCUGAAAUAAAAGAAACCAAACACAACAUAUGAAAAGGACGCAAAAGUCUCUAACUGAAACGCCAGAAGAAAAAGAAAAACGAUUGAUUGCUAGACAUGAAUAUGAGAAACGAAGAAGGGUAAAUGGAAGUGAGGAAUCUAGGGAAAAUAGGCUGGCCCAGGAGCUUCUGAACAGGGAAAAGAAAUGUGCAAAUGAAUCUUCUGAAUCAAGAAAAAAGAGGCUGGCAACCCAAUCUCAGUAUCAAAGCCAAAAAAUUGCAAAUGAGGCAGCAGAAUGUAGAGAGAAGAUCGUUUUUUUUAUCUAGUUUUUCAUUCAUCUUUGUUGCUUAGAUUUCACAUGCCGGCUUUCCUACAAUCAGCUUGUCUUCUUAUUGCGGAUUACAGCAUGGAGUUGUGCUCUCACAGACCAACAUUUCAUGGUCUGGACUUUUAGUGCAGGUCACACCACAUUGAAACUUAAGAGUCAUUAUUGACUCUCUGUGUGUUCACAUUUCACAUAAGUCAUUUACCAGAACAUUUUUUAUCCUGAAUUUCUGUCUAUACCACAUGCUCAGAAGAGAAAAUUACUUAACCAGUCUUUUUAGUACAUGCAAAGAUAAAAUUUUGGUCAAACUGCAGAAUACCCUGCCACCCAUGGCAUUACAUUUCAUUGAAUACAAAUAGAAUAAACCAUUUUUAGCCAGUAGUGAAAAUAGGACUUUUUUGUUGCCAUAAGAAAAUCAAACACUGCUUUGUCUGGAAAUUCAAUUUGAUGGCCUCUUUAAAUGAAAUUAUACUUUCAUGUUUACAUAGUUAAACCAAUAAAAGUCACAAACAUCUAAUGCCUAACCUGAAACUGCAGUUUGUUGUUAACAUGGUGCUAAAUGUCUAUUGUGAUUGUUUCCAAACUUUUGGGGAGUAAUCCAUUGAAACUCAGUAACAAAGUGGUUUUGCUUUUAUUAAAAUAUGAAUAAGAGCCUAGUGCUUUAAUGUUAACUGAAAUGUGAUUAGUGUUGUGUUUUCCAAGUUAUGGCCUUAAUUAUCCAGACUUUAAUAUCUCAUGACUUCCUUCAAGCUAGGCAGUCUUCUAGAUUCUCUUCAUAAUGGUUCAGAUAAGCAUUGGUAUCUAUACUUUGUAGCAAUACAUGUGUAUUAGGCCUUUAUUUGGUAGACUAAAACUCCUUUUCAGUUACUCGUUUGGUUUGUUGAAUUCAUCACAAUACUGAUAUACAUGAAAAAUUGCACUUUUUUGAUUGGCUGAAAAUAGCUAGGUGCCUUUAUCAUUUAUCAUAAGUGAAAAAGUAACAACUCAUGUAGAAAAUAAUAUAAAAUAGGCUCAGCAACAAUAGAUCACAUUAGAAACCAAUCAGAUUUACACAAAGUUGGUUGUUCUGAUUGCUACAUGCAGUAGAUGACAAAAAUAAACAAAAGCUUGGAUACUUUUAUGUAUAUUGAUAAACACUAACAAAUUCCAUUCCUGAGUAAGAAUUCAGCAGAAGGACAAAUGUUGUUGGCACACACUUCAUUUAGUCAAUACUGUCAAAUUUAUCUGCCAUCAGUUUAUUGAUUUCCUGUGAAUGUGUAUCUUUCAUGUAUACAUUAUGAAUAAUUAAUAACAAUUUCUCGUAUGAUAAGCACCUGUAAAUUUUUCAAAUACUUUAAACUGUACACAUGUUAUGAGCUCAACAUUUGUUAUUUGUGAAAAAUUUACUUCUGCUUAUUUUGAGUGCCAAAGCACACUUUAAUUAACUUAGCUUAGACUUUGUUGAGUUUUUAUAAAGACAGUUCAAUGGAACUGACAUUUGUUAUGUUUAUAGUUAAAAGUUAGAGCUACUUGAUGUGGAUUAGAUAAUCAUCAGGUAUCCUCGGAGACCCAGGGUUCUAAUCACAUCUGUAGACCCUCUAAAAGCACAGUCUUGACAGAUCAGUUCCAAACUGUCACAGUCAUUCUGAAUUUUGAUUGGUACCAGAAGUUCAAUCUUGUUCUGGCAAAUGAGAGUGAAGCAGGUCUCACAAGUCCUCUUGUGUGCUCUAACACAAAGUGAUACAUGGAGUUCAGUUGCUCACCAUGUUAAGUCGACCAUUUGCAUGAUGAUGUCAAGUUCACCCAUUCAUUUCUCCACAUAACUUGAAUUUGGUAGACUCACUGGGAUGAAAUUACAAUUUCAAUAAUAAGAAAACUUGAAAGCUUCUGGUAGUUUAAAUCAUAUGAUACCAUCAUGUACUUGCCUGUACAUCGAACCUGCUGUGUUGAAGUUAUGUCUAUGAUUACUGUUCCUGAAAUCUAUUAUGGCGACACUCUAUCUCUAUUUAACUUUCUGUUUAAUAGAACCUCCAGGUCAAAUUGUAAGUCUUAUUGGUUUAAAAAUUAUU